CUACAACUACCAGAUCUCAACCCGGACACCUACGGGAGCCGGGCUCCAUCCUCGACCUCGACUGCGGGAAGGCUUCAUCCGGACUCCUACGGGAGCCGAGCUCCGCCCACGACUUCGCUUACAGGUAAACUCCGUCUAGACUCCUACGGGAGCCAGACUUCAUCCUUGACCUUGAUUGCAGGUGGACUUCGACUGGACUCUUACGGGAGCC
rnacentral:lncRNA from 1 species